CUCCUGUGGAGGAUCAACUAGAAAAAAAGACCGGAAGGCUAGAGCUCUCCGGGGUCGGUGGUAGCUGGGGUACCCUAAGGCUCCGGUGCGAGGCCACUCUUUUUAGGUUAUACCGUGCCAACAGUCUGGAAGUAGAAAUCCGACCGGACACACCCCAACCUGCAUCUGUUCUGCUCAUGGGACCAAGUAGCAGAGGUAGUAAACGUGCCACGUCAUCCAGUCUUCUUCUCUACGGCCUCGUCAUCUUAGCGUCUACGACCAGGAGGUGGAAGUAUAGUUAAGCCUAACAGCAACUUAGAGAAAUGCAUAACCAAAUCUCAGUGUGCGUGGUUUGUGCGUGUGUUACGAUUUACGAUUGACGUGCAAAGUGAAAACCUGUUGCUGAUUUACUUUUCGGUAAAGGCGAGUGAUGUUUUUUUUGAUACGAUUCGAUUUAUGAAUGUAUUCGGGUGGUAUUUUAGAUUGUGGAAUUCGAGAUGGGUCUCUAACAAAAAUUGAAAUCGGGAUUCAACUAGAUUUAUACAGUGUAACGGAAA